rnacentral:rRNA from 1 species
GACGAACGCUGGCGGCGUGCUUAACACAUGCAAGUCGAACGGAAAGGCCCUGCUUGCAGGGUGCUCGAGUGGCGAACGGGUGAGUAACACGUGGGUGAUCUGCCCCUUACUUUGGGAUAAGCCUGGGAAACUGGGUCUAAUACUGGAUAGGACCAUGCUGUAGGUGGUGUGGUGGAAAGAUUAGUUUCGGUAAGGGAUGAGCUCGCGGCCUAUCAGCUUGUUGGUGGGGUAAUGGCCUACCAAGGCGUCGACGGGUAGCCGGCCUGAGAGGGUGGACGGCCACAUUGGGACUGAGAUACGGCCCAGACUCCUACGGGAGGCAGCAGUGGGGAAUAUUGCACAAUGGGCGCAAGCCUGAUGCAGCGACGCCGCGUGGGGGAUGACGGCCUUCGGGUUGUAAACUCCUUUCAGCCAUGACGAAGCCCUUGUGGUGACGGUAGUGGUAGAAGAAGCACCGGCUAACUACGUGCCAGCAGCCGCGGUAAUACGUAGGGUGCGAGCGUUGUCCGGAAUUACUGGGCGUAAAGAGCUCGUAGGUGGUCUGUCGCGUCAUUUGUGAAAGCCCGGGGCUUAACUCCGGGUUGGCAGGUGAUACGGGCAUGACUGGAGUACUGUAGGGGAGACUGGAAUUCCUGGUGUAGCGGUGAAAUGCGCAGAUAUCAGGAGGGACACCGGUGGCGAAGGCGGGUCUCUGGGCAGUAACUGACGCUGAGGAGCGAAAGCAUGGGUAGCGAACAGG